CAUCUCAACUGUAGAGAGGAAAAAAACCAUUCUUCUUUUAACUACGAGAAACUGAGGAGUGGGACAAAGCUUAACGCCUGGAAAGAUGAGAUUAAAGGAGGACACCGUAAUCUUGACAUUAGGAGACCCGGGGUGGGGGGAGCAGCCAGGGGCUCGCUGCAGGAAAGCAGAGGUAGGGAAGAGCGGUUUCGGGGAUCAAGACUUCACAGCAGCCGAGGGAGAACAAGAACCUGGUGCGUUGUCACCAGCGAGACGUUCGGCGCCGCAGCACCACCUCUUCCAGCAACUACAGUUCUCCCCCAGCCCGUAGCUGCCAGCAGCUCAUCAGAGGAAAGACGCGGCGCUUCCAGGCGUCACCGCCGCCCCCUCCCUGCGCGCAGCCCGCAGCUCACCGCCCCCGCGCCAGGGACCCUCGGCCGGGCCGCGGGCGGCUCCCGCCAAACCCCGGACGCGGCCCGCUCCGCCGACAGGGGGCCGCUCCCGCCGCCCUUGAGCAACGGACGGGCGCUGAGGGGACGCGCGCGGCGGGGCGGCCGCCGCCACACCGGCUCCCGGCCCCCCCCCAGGGACGGCCCCGACCGCCGCCGGCUCCUCCCCCCCCUCUACGGGGCACCGCGAGGCCGCGCUCAGCCGCCCCAGGACGCGCGCGGCCGGCAGGAUACGCACCCACCGUCAGCCCGCCCGCCCCCGCCGGGCCCUGCGGCCGCCGAGCCCCCCCGGCUCGCGGCGGCUCCUAGCCGGUCGCCACACCGCGUCGCCUCGCGCCGCGCAUGCGCAAGGCGCCCGCGCCCGCGCCCCCUGGCGCAGCCCCGAGGCGGCGCUGCGCUCCGCUCCGCCGCGCCCGCCCUUCCCCUCACCGAGCCUGGGCCCAGGGCGCCGGCUGUGCCGUCACCGUCCCCGAUCUGGGACUCUCUCCCAAACCCUCUCCACGCCUCAGUUUUGCCAAAUUCACGCGAUCAUUUUAUCCGCACGGGCGCGUUUCGUCGCUGGGUCACGCGCCCCGUGGGCGCGAGCCUGCGGGCCGGGCGGCGGCGGGCUGAGGGCGGAACGCGCCGCGCCGCGGUCUCCUCAGGGCGGGCCGGCUCCGCGGGGCUCCGCGUCCUCGGCGCUGCGGGCCGCCGCUGUGGAGGGAGGGAGCCGCCGGGGCUCCCGGGCCCCGGGGCGCCAGCGCGGCGCUGCCCGCGGCUGCCGGCGGCCUCGCCCGCGCUCCCGCCCGUGAAGAGCGAGGGCUGCGGGCAGAGGCGGCCGCUGUCGGUAACGGCUCCGUCCACGGAACGGACGCUGCCGCGGGCUGCCGCGGCUCCCCAGCACCGUCCCCCAUCGCAGAAUUUACGUCGUCACCAAACGCACAGCCAGACGCGUACCGAGGAACGCAGACAGGACCUGGUCAUGACUGAGGCUCUUCUGUGUUACAGCACUACAGUGAAUAAAGAGUAACGUGUUUCACCCUUUGCAGUUAAUAUAUUCGACAAAUCUUAUUGUACAUUCUUUACGGAACUAGUCCUGUUUUAACAAUCUGAAUAUUAAUAAUGUGAUUUAGCUGGACCUUACUGCCAAAGCAGACUGUGAGUCAUCUUUAUUACCAUCAUCUUUAUGACAGAAGAAAUGACACCAAUCUGUCUUAGGCACUUACGAAAUAUGCUCGACUCAUCCACUUGGUCUACAGCACUUCCAUUGGCAACCACAUUUCAAAAGGCAACCAAUUUAACAGGUUUACUUUUCAGAAAUCAUUCCUGCAAGCGGAAUGCAAUUUGUUGGUACUUCAGUUCCUUCCUGUCAUGUGAAUUAUUUUUAAAUACAUCAUUAACUAUGUUAAUGUAGCAUUCUUUUCUUGACAAUUUCCUUCAUUGUCUAUAUGGGAGCUAGGCAAACACUCUGUACAUACUGUCCACAUUAAGUGCAUUUCUUUGAUGUAUGAUUAUAUAACACUUUUAUAAAGAUCUCAAAAUACCUCACAAACAUUAAACUGGUGGAAAGUACAUUAACGAUUAUACACAGAAGUAAACCAAGAGAAAGGUUCAGUGACUUGCCAAAGUCAUGCAGUGAAUCAAAAAAACAGCUGGAAAAGUAACAACUCAGUCAUAACUGCAUGUUCUCACUUCUCUUCAGAUUGUUAUAAGAGACUGUGUAAGGAAAAGCACAGUUUUAAAACAAAGCAUAAAUACUAUUUAAUUCCCUGCAAAAAAUUAUUCAUGGGAGCAGUUUAUCUUGCCCUCUGUCCAAUGUGACAGAUAUCAUUUCCUUCUGUAGCAAAAAAGUCUCAAGUGUUGGGUUACUUGAGAACAGAGUAUGUGGCACUGCGUCAGAGUCUUAAAAAAAAAAACAAACCUGUCUUCUGCAAUACCAGAAAACUUAUUUUUUAAAUAUGAGAUACUGGAUCAGAAAAACAUCACAGAAAUCUGAAUGGAAUUAUGGCUGAGAGAAACAUUGUUGCAGCUAACUAAUUUAAAAUGAAGAAUAUGAGUCAGAACAAGCCCAGAAAUAUAGCUACUAUCAAUCAAGCCAGUUCUACCAAAGAUGGUUAAUUUGGGCAAUACAGCCAACAGAAAUUUGUGUAACGAAAGUUAUCACAUUCAUUUUUUCUGAAUGUACAUACUAAAUAUAAAAAUUUCUGGUUUACCUUGAAAUUAUCUUGGUAGCUCUAGAAGAGUUAUAUUGCCAAAUAGCAUAAUUGUGCUGUUACUGAUUUCAACCUUUAGCCCUCAAGUUUGUUAAAUCUAAAACAUGCAGAAAAAAUACAAUGCAAGUCUAAUAAACAAAGUCCCCAUGGCCA
rnacentral:lncRNA from 1 species